rnacentral:rRNA from 1 species
GUGCUGAAAGCAUCUAAGCACGAAACUUGCCCCGAGAUGAGUUCUCCCUGAGACUUUAAGUCUCCUGAAGGAACGUUAAAGACGAUGACGUUGAUAGGCCGGGUGUGUAAGCGCAGCGAUGCGUUGAGCUAACCGGUACUAAUGAACCGUGAGGCUUAACCUUAC